AUUGAACGCUGGCGGCAUGCCUUACACAUGCAAGUCGAACGGUAACAGGUCUUCGGAUGCUGUCGAGUGGCGAACGGGUGAGUAAUACAUCGGUACGUUCCCGAUUGCGUGGUGUAACGUGCCGAAAGCUUUGCUUAUUCCCCAUUCGAUCUACGGGUGACAGGGGGGGAGCUUCGGACCUUCCGCGGUCGUGGCGUCCGGUGGGCGAUUAAGUCGUUGGUGGGUUAAAGGCGUACCAGGCCGACGAUCGGUAGCUGAUUUGAGAGGAGGAACAGGUACACUGAGACUGAGACACGGCCCAGGCUCCUACGGGAGGCAGAGGUGGGGAAUUUUGGACAAUGGGGGGAAGACUGAACCAGCCAUGCCGCGUGGAUGAAGAAGGCCUGCGGGUUGUAAACUGCUUUUGGAGGGGACGAAAGGCCUAAUGAUAAGAAAAGGGGGUCGUGACGGUACCGGAAGAAGAAGCACCGGCUAACUACGUG
rnacentral:rRNA from 1 species